rnacentral:tRNA from 1 species
GCCUGAGUGGCUCAGUUGGUUAAGCACCUGACUUCUGCUCAGGUCAUGAUCUCAGGGUCGUGGGAUCGAGCCCUGCUUCAGAUU